AUGAACGCUGGCGGCGUGCCUAAUACAUGCAAGUCGAGCGAACAGACGAGGAGCUUGCUCCUCUGACGUUAGCGGCGGACGGGUGAGUAACACUUGGAUAACCUACCUAUAAGACUGGGAUAACUUCGGGAAACCGGAGCUAAUACCGGAUAAUAUAUUUAACCGCUUGGUUCAAUAGUGAAAGACGGUUUUGCUGUCACUUAUAGAUGGAUCCGCGCCGCAUUAGCUAGUUGGUAAGGUAACGGCUUACCAAGGCAACGAUGCGUAGCCGACCUGAGAGGGUGAUAGGCCACACUGGAACUGAGACACGGUCCAGACUACUACGGGAGGCAGCAGUAGGGAAUGUUCCGCAAUGGGCGAAAGCCUGACGGAGCAACGCCGCGUGAGUGAUGAAGGUCUUCGGAUCGUAAAACUCUGUUAUUAGGGAAGAACAAAUGUGUAAGUAACUAUGCACGUCUUGACGGUACCUAAUCAGAAAGCCACGGCUAACUACGUG
rnacentral:rRNA from 1 species